AACGAACGCUGGCGGCAGGCUUAACACAUGCAAGUCGAGCGCCCCGCAAGGGGAGCGGCAGACGGGUGAGUAACGCGUGGGAACGUACCUUUUGGUUCGGAACAACUCCGGGAAUCUGGAGCUAAUACCGGAUAAGCCCUAACGGGGAAAGAUUUAUCGCCGAAAGAUCGGCCCGCGUCUGAUUAGCUAGUUGGUGAGGUAACGGCUCACCAAGGCGACGAUCAGUAGCUGGUCUGAGAGGAUGAUCAGCCACACUGGGACUGAGACACGGCCCAGACUCCUACGGGAGGCAGCAGUGGGGAAUAUUGGACAAUGGGCGCAAGCCUGAUCCAGCCAUGCCGCGUGAGUGAUGAAGGCCUUAGGGUUGUAAAGCUCUUUUGUCCGGGAAGAUAAUGACUGUACCGGAAGAAUAAGCCCCGGCUAACUUCGUG
rnacentral:rRNA from 1 species